rnacentral:rRNA from 1 species
UACGUAGGGGGCAAGCGUUGUCCGGAUUUAUUGGGCGUAAAGAGCGUGUAGGCGGUUCGGUAGGUCCGUUGUGAAAACUCGAGGCUCAACCUCGAGACGCCGAUGGAAACCCUCGAACUAGAGUCCGGAAGAGGAGAAUGGAAUUCCUGGUGUAGCGGUGAAAUGCGCAGAUAUCGGGAAGAACACCUAUGGCGAAGGCAGCUCUCUGGGACGGUACUGACGCUGAGACGCGAAAGCGUGGGGAGCGAACAGG